UGAGGAAUAUUGGGCAAUGCCCGCAAGGGUGACCCAGCAACGCCGCGUGAAGGAUGAAUGUCGUAAGAUUGUAAACUCCUGUUAGAGGGGAAGAAUAGUACCGGUUGGACCGGUAUAUGACUGUACCCUCAGAGAAAGCCCCGGCUAACUACGUGCCAGCAGCCGCGGUAAUACGUAGGGGGCAAGCGUUGUCCGGAUUUACUGGGUGUAAAGGGCGCGCAGGCGGGAUAAAAAGUCAGUGGUGAAAUCCUACAGCUUAACUGUAGAACUGCCUUUGAUACUUUUAUUCUUGAGUUCGGGAGAGAGAGACGGAAUUCCAGGUGUAAUGGUGAAAUACGUAGAUAUCUGGAAGAACACCAGUUGCGAAGGCGGUCUCUUGGUCCGACACUGACGCUGAGGCGCGAAAGCGUGGGGAGCAAACA
rnacentral:rRNA from 1 species